UGCAAACCACGUGAUCAUCCACAAGAGCAGUGCAGGUUCGCUGAGAUAAGUAGGAACUGCCGCUGACGGAGAUUCCGAGACACUGAGGUGUAGAGCUGGGUGAAUAUAACAGGCCAAGAAGUAUCAGAGGAGUAGGAAAGCUGACGUUUUGUGCCUGGUCCCUUCGCUGAGACUAAGGUUUGUGCAAUUGAGAUACCAGCGAUCGUUGCCAAAGCCCUGUUACCUGUGGAGAAGGUCAUGUUUAACUUUCCUGUGCUGCUGCAGUUCGUAUGAUGAAGGUGCUCCCACAAUUGUGGUCAUUUGAGAAGUUACAGAUCAUUCAUCUAGCGAUACUGAAGAGCUGAUGGUGAUUCGAACCCAGGUCCCCGGAAUGGUGUCUGGGUCUCUGGAUUAAUAAUCUGGCGAUAAUACUGUUUAUCAACUGAGGGAGGAUGGUCCAUGGCAUUCAACAGGAGCCAUGAGUCUUCCAGGCGUCAGAGUCAAUGUCGUAUUCCCAGGUCAAUUACUGCGAUCAGAAUAGCACUGUGCUGCCAUGUCUGUCCUGCUCCUGGGACAGGCCUUCACUACGGACCUUGAUGGUGGUGUGUGUCACUUGUCUAUAAGGAUAUUACAAGUGGACUUUCAGGUGGGGAAACUCAAUAAUUGUAACCCCAAACUCUGACAGAGUUCCUCACUUCAUCAACAUCUGGAUAUUUGCAUUGUGUAUUUCCACAAUUUUACUUCUGCACUGUUCUUAACCUUUUGAUCCCUCUGAAAUACUGAGUUACAAUGCCUGCCCUUCCUCCCUGGCUCUCCCACCUCUCUUUGAGCAGUUUUGUGCAAAUACUGACUGGAUCCCUUGCCUGGAGGAUAUUUAUUUCAAUUUGUCCUAAUGAUGAUCCAGCACAUUUCCCAAGUGUCGCUCCAUAAAUGUCCAGAGGAUUUCUCGAUUUCACAAUCUGUGGUUGUUCUUCUGGUUCCUCACUCACUGCACUUGCUUUCUGUUUGAAAGCUUAGUCUGCAAUUGGAGAAUACAAACAGGUCCACAUCCAGCUCUGACAGUCACUUUGUUUAUCACAAACCAGUUACCUCAGGAUUUUGAACAUUGGAGGAAAAAGCAGCAUUCACACUGGGGAGAAAUGCACAUGGUCUGUAAAGAGUCUGUGAAGAUUCAUCUGAAAUGUCCGAGCACCAGCGCAGUGACACUGGAGAGAGACUGUGGAAAUGUGCAGAUUGCAGGAAUGAAUUUUUUAAUCCGUCCCAGCUAGAAACUGACCACCAGAGUCACACUGGAGAGAAACCAUUCACCUGCUCUGAUUGUGGAAUGGGAUUCACUCAGUCCUCUAACCUGCUUAAACACCAGUGAGUUCGCACUGUAGAGAAACCAUUUGCAUGCUUGAAAUGUGGGAAAGCAUUCACUCAGACAUCUCAACCGCUGAUGCACGAGCGAAUUCACACUGGAGAGAGACCGUUGGCCUGUUCUGUGUGAGGGAAAGGCUUUGCUGACUCGAAUUGCCCGCUGAUCCACCAGCGACUUCACUCUGGGGAGUGACCAUUCGUCUGCUCCCAGUGUGGGAAGGGAUUCACUUGCUCACCUAACCUACAGAGCGUUCACACUGGGGAGAAACCAUUCACCUGCUCUAAAUCUGUGAAAGCAUUCACUUGGUCACCCUACCUGCUUGUGUUCCAGCAGGUUCACACUGGGGAGAACCCAUUCAUGAGCUCUGACUGGGGAAAGCAUUCACUCAGUUAUCCAAACUGUUAACACACCAGUGACUUCACAAUGAAGCACAGUUGAAGGAUUUUGCUGUCACUCUCACUAUCAAGUGAACCGUGUUUUUGGGCUGUAUUUACUGAUGUUACUGAUCCCUGCUCAAUUAAAAGUACAGGUAUUGUGGAUAAAAUGUUAAUAUCAGUUGUGUAUCUGUCAGGUAGAGUUUGGAAAUAGUCACGUUAUCACGACACAUUGACACAUUCUCACUGACUAAAGACGAGCCGCCCGCACAGUAUGUGAAAAGGGAUUUCCUGGUUCAUCCGGACUGGUGAACGAGCAGCAAAUUUCUGAGUAACUGUGAAGUCGGUUUUUGAUUCUGCAGUUAGCUAUAUCCAAACCAUGCUUUUUGGGCUUGCUUCUGGAGAUCAUAGAAUCCCUCCAGUCUGGAAGCAGACCAUUUAGCCCAUCGAGUUCCCAAUGAACUUAGAGUGUCCUACCCAGACCCUGCCUGCGUGGGUUUCCUCCAGGUGCUCUAGUUUCCCACAGUCCAAAAAUGUGCAAAUUCGGUAGAAUGACAAUGCUAAAUUGCCCAUAGUGUCUUGUGUGCAAAAUGCAGGGUAGGGUGUGAGACUGGGUGAGAUGCUGUUUGGAGGGUUGAUAAUGGACUGAAUGGCCAUCUUCCACACUGUAGGGAUUCUAUGUUGAUCGAAAUGGCCCUUUAUUUGUUGUGUCUGGUCAAUAUGUUUGCACACCUUCUACAAUUAUGGAUUCUAUUGCUCUCCACAGACAUCUUUCAACUACUAAUAGAUAUUUGUUUAUUGGAAACAAUCAAAGGAAAGUUUUAAAUCCAACAAAAGAUUGGGAUGAGUCAUGUUCUAUAUCCCUGAUAGCCGAUUGCAAAAAUGCAAUGAAACCUGGUGACCUGUCCAUGGGGAAUGCAGUCUCUUCAGAUCUUUACCAGGUGUCCAUAGCAGUGACAGAUCUUGUGAUGAAUACAAAAAGCUAGACAUUGUGUGAUAUCUAGUAUAUAUUUCCUAUUUAGUCUGCUGUCCAUUACUCCACAUGUCAAGUUUGUUUUCGGAGACCCUCACGGACUUGCUGCAAUCACAAGACACUGACCUGUUUAGAAAAACACAAAUCCUUUUAUUACCAAGCAAGUACAAGCUGUGGAGAAUCACUGUACUCAACCCGGCACAGAGAGCAGAGUCUCGCAAGUAAUUCUCCCCAAGCAGCAGACAGUGCCCGCUUAUUAUACUUUACAAAAGCCACGAUACUGAAAAUGACUUCACAAUUUAUAAUGGCAUGAUGCAUAAAACAAUUACUACAACAGACAAAAAUAGGAUACCAAGCAAUUAUUACAUCAAGAACAUAAAAGACCAGCUUAUAGUAUCGAUUGCUAGUGAAGUAGCUGCUAAUGGCAGGAGGCGAUUUUGAGUUGUUGUCGAGGACGGAUUGUGAUUUCAAGUUGCCAGUGUGUCUGACUAGAACAAAGUCAGUGCCCUGGCCCCUUUGCCAGUGACAGAAGUUACAUGCUUUAGAGGUUUCACACCCUUACAAAUUUUCCCCACCUAACCCUAUUUGAAACAGUUUGAUUCUAGUUUCAAUUCAGACAGGAAGCUUAAGACAGUGUCUGCAUACCGAUGUGUGAGAAGAAAAGGAGUGAAAAAAGCUUUACGCUGAAUUCCUAGCUGGGCAGGAAACUUCAGGGUAGUGCCUGCAUACCGAUGUGUAGGUAGAUAUGUAAAUUAAAGUCUUUUAUCUGCAUUUGAUUUCUAUACAGAGACUUUAAUUUAUAGAAGUAUAUAAAUCAAUGGGCUGUCAUCACAUUAACAUCUCACUCAGAGACUGAGAUACGGUCUGGUGACCUAGAUUUGAAUCACACCAUUCCAGAUGGUGGAAUUUGAGUUUUUUUUUAAAUCUAGAAAUAAGAAUCUAAUGAUGACCAUGAAUCUGUUGUCAGUCAGAAAAACCCAUCUGUUCACCUCUGUCCUUUAGGGAAGAAAACUUCCAUUUUUAUCCAGUGAUAUCAAGAUUCCAUGAAUGAUUGAUUUUUUUUUAACAAAAAAAAACUCCUGCAAAUACAGUUAUCUCUGUCUUAAUUUAUUUAGCAACCGACAGUUCAAACUGGUUGAUGGUCACUUUCACUUCUAAUCAAGUUGUGGCCGUUUCAUGAUUGAAAUUUUUAAAAAUGCAUGAAAGGAACCACAGUUGUUCUCGUAGGAACAAUGCAUGCUCUGACAUGUUUGAAAAAAAUACUUCAUCUCACUUAUCAGCCACAUAUCAAAGCUGACCAGAUCCUGAUGCAGUGAACCAUGAAAGUGAAAUUCUUCACCGUCUUAUCUACUUGUGUUGCGAUUUCAGGGAGCGAUGGACUUGAACCUCCCAAUCUCCUGAACACCUUUGAGAAUUUCAUCAAACUGACGCCCAGUGGCAGGAAUGGACAGGGUCAGCUUGGAUUGAUGCUCAUAAUUCAGGCUCAACAAAUCUACUGGACCAUUUUGGGAAUGAAAUUAGUGGUGAGUGUGGCCACCUCUCUGUACUGUAGUGAUACAGAUCCCCUGAUCCCGAUUGUCUCAAAUGGCUGACUGACAGUGUCGAAGUCCCUGGGCUGAUAUCGAAUGAUUCCUUGGCCAUGCUGUGUCAGGAUCUCCUGACUGAAUACUAUUCCCCCUUGCCCUGACUGAGAACUGUUUCCCUGAGAAUUUGAGACGUGCCCAUUUGGUCGAAACACAUGUGUUUGUUGCCACAGGUGCUGACCACCCCUUGACUGACUGCUGGUAAUAACAAUGCUAAGCUGCCUGGCUUAUGCCUGCGAUAAACACCAGGCAAGACAGGAGCACUGUGAGGCAUUAAGUUCUAGUUGAAACAUCAAAGUGCAAAAAUGUCAAUGAAGGGCAGAGAUAUUGCGGCAUAACUCCUGUCAGGUGCUGAAAAGCUUGUAGAGUUCUUAGAGCAAGAAUGUACUUUGUGGACAGGCAAUUCUGCAUCUUGAUUUAGCAUUUUUAUUUAACUCUGGCUCAUUUUGCUAGAUUUGUAAAUAUCUCUCGGUCUGGCUAAUGUGAGAAUUGGCUUUCGGAGUAAUGUGCCACUGACUGUCAUUCACAGUUGUAUCUCGCAUCAGUGAAUUGGUAAUCUGAUUAAGCUCACAGGCCUUGGCAUGAGAAAAAUAAAGCAGUCACAUGCACACUUG